rnacentral:rRNA from 1 species
AUUGAUUUUAUGCUCGCAUAAAUGAUUUUUGGAUUCGGAGCGAGUGGCGAACUGGUGAGUAACACGUGGGUAACCUGCCCCGAAGCGGGGGAUAACAUUUGGAAACAAGUGCUAAUACCGCAUAAUUAGUCAGAACCGCAUGGUUCCGACUUAAAAGAUGGCUCUGCUAUCACUUCGGGAUGGACCCGCGCCGUAUUAGUUAGUUGGUGAGAUAAAAGCCCACCAAGACGAUGAUACGUAGCCGACCUGAGAGGGUAAUCGGCCACAUUGGGACUGAGACACGGCCCAGACUCCUACGGGAGGCAGCAGUAGGGAAUCUUCCACAAUGGACGAAAGUCUGAUGGAGCAACGCCGCGUGAGUGAUGAAGGGUUUCGGCUCGUAAAACUCUGUUGUUAAAGAAGAACAAGCAUGAGAGUAACUGUUCAUGCUUUGACGGUAUUUAACCAGAAAGCCACGGCUAACUACGUGCCAGCAGCCGCGGUAAUACGUAGGUGGCAAGCGUUGUCCGGAUUUAUCGGGCGUAAAGCGAGCGCAGGCGGUUUUGUAAGUCUGCUGUGAAAGCCCUCAGCUCAACUGAGGAAGUGCAGUGGAAACUACAAAACUUGAGUACAGAAGAGGAAAGUGGAACUCCAUGUGUAGCGGUGAAAUGCGUAGAUAUAUGGAAGAACACCAGUGGCGAAGGCGGCUUUCUGGUCUGUUACUGACGCUGAGGCUCGAAAGCAUGGGUAGCGAACAGGAUUAGAUACCCUGGUAGUCCAUGCCGUAAACGAUGAAUACUAGGUGUUGGAGGGUUUCCGCCCUUCAGUGCCGCAGCUAACGCAUUAAGUAUUCCGCCUGGGGAGUACGACCGCAAGGUUGAAACUCAAAGGAAUUGACGGGGGCCCGCACAAGUGGUGGAGCAUGUGGUUUAAUUCGAUGCUACGCGAAGAACCUUACCAGCUCUUGACAUCUUCUGCCAACCUAAGAGAUUAGGCGUUCCCUUCGGGGACAGAAUGACAGGUGGUGCAUGGUUGUCGUCAGCUCGUGUCGUGAGAUGUUGGGUUAAGUCCCGCAACGAGCGCAACCCUUAUUAUUAGUUGCCAGCAUUUAGUUGGGCACUCUAGUGAGACUGCCGGUGAUAAA